rnacentral:rRNA from 1 species
AGUGAACGCUGGCGGUAGGCCUAACACAUGCAAGUCGAACGGCAGCACAGUAAGAGCUUGCUCUUACGGGUGGCGAGUGGCGGACGGGUGAGGAAUACAUCGGAAUCUACUUUUUCGUGGGGGAUAACGUAGGGAAACUUACGCUAAUACCGCAUACGACCUACGGGUGAAAGCAGGGGAUCUUCGGACCUUGCGCGAUUGAAUGAGCCGAUGUCGGAUUAGCUAGCUGGCGGGGUAAAGGCCCACCAAGGCGACGAUCCGUAGCUGGUCUGAGAGGAUGAUCAGCCACACUGGAACUGAGACACGGUCCAGACUCCUACGGGAGGCAGCAGUGGGGAAUAUUGGACAAUGGGCGCAAGCCUGAUCCAGCCAUACCGCGUGGGUGAAGAAGGCCUUCGGGUUGUAAAGCCCUUUUGUUGGGAAAGAAAAGCAGCAGGUUAAUACCCCGCUGUUCUGACGGUACCCAAAGAAUAAGCACCGGCUAACUUCG